rfam:Triticum aestivum genome assembly, contig: Triticum_aestivum_CS42_TGACv1_scaffold_211647_3AS
AUACUACUCCCUCCGUUCAGAAUUACUUGUCUCAAAAAUGGAUGUAUCUAGACGUAUUUUAGUUCUAGAUACAUCCAUAUCCGAGACAAGUAAUUCCGAACGGAGGGGGUAGUAG